rnacentral:rRNA from 1 species
AGGGUAUGAUACCGGCUCAGAACGAACGCUGGCGGCGUGGUUUAGGCAUGCAAGUUGAGCGAGAACCUAUCUGAUUGAUCCUUCGGGAGAGAUUGGAUAGGGGAGAGCGGCGAAAGGGUGAGUAAUGCACAGAUAACCUACCCCCGAGUUCGGGACAACCCGCUGAAAGGCAGGCUAAUACCGAAUGUGUUCCGGAAGACCUCGGUUCUCCGGAAUAAAGAUUUAUCGCUCAGGGAGGGGUCUGUGUCCUAUUAGCUUGUUGGUGGGGUAACGGCCUACCAAGGCUUUGAUGGGUAGCCGGCUUGAGAGAGCGACCGGCCACACUGGGACUGAGACACUGCCCAGACUCCUACGUGAGGCUGCAGUCGAGAAUCUUCCGCAAUGGGCGAAAGCCUGACGGAGCGACGCCGCGUGCGGGAUGAAGGCCUUCGGGUUGUAAACCGCUGUCGAACGGGAAGAAAUCUUCGGAUUGACGUUACCGUUGGAGGAAGAUACGGCUAAAUUCGUGCCAGCAGCCGCGGUAAUACGAAUGUGUCAAGCGUUGUUCGGAUUUACUGGGCAUAAAGGGCGCGUAGGUGGGUCGCUAAGUCAGCUGUGAAAUCCCUUGGCUCAACCGAGGAAUUGCAGUUGAUACUGGCGGUCUUGAGUUCGGGAGAGGAGAGUGGAACUCCUGGUGGAGCGGUGGAAUGCGUAGAUAUCAGGGGGAACAACGGAGGCGAAGGCGACUCUCUAGUCCGAUACUGACACUGAGGCGCGAAAGCCAGGGGAGCGAACGGGAUUAGAUACCCCGGUAGUCCUGGCCGUAAACGAUGGGCACUAGGCAGUGGGGGUUCCGAUGCCUUCACUGCCGCAGCAAAUGCGUUAAGUGCCCCGCCUGGGGAGUAUGGUCGCAAGGCUGAAACUCAAGGUAAUUGACGGGGGCUCGCACAAGCGGUGGAGCAUGUUGCUCAAUACGAAGCUACGCGUAGAACCUUACCGAGGUUUGACAUGCAAGUGGUAGUGAACUGAAAGGGGAACGACCCUGCUUUUAGUAGGGAGCUUGCACAGGUGUUGCAUGGCUGUCGUCAGCUCGUGUCGUGAGAUGUUGGGUUAAGUCCCGUAACGAGCGAAACCCUUGUCCUUAGUUGCCAGCGGGUAAUGCCGGGAACUCUAAGGAGACUGCCUCUGCAAGGAGGAGGAAGGUGGGGAUGACGUCAAGUCAGCAUGGCCCUUACGCCUCGGGCUGCAAACGUGCUACAAUGGUCGGUACAAAGGGAUGCGAAGCCGUGAGGUGGAGCCAACCCCAAAAAAACCGGCCCCAGUUCGGAUUGAAGGCUGAAAUUCGCCUUCAUGAAGUUGGAAUCGCUAGUAAACGCCGGUCAGCUACACGGCGUUGAAUGUGUUCCCGAGCCUUGUACACACCGCCCGUCAAGCCAUCCAAGCAGGGGGUGCCCGAAGUCCGUGGUCUAACCCUUCGGGGAAGAAGCGGCCGAAGGCAAAACUUGUGAGGAGGACUAAGUCGUAACAAGGUA